rnacentral:lncRNA from 1 species
AAAGAUCUGAAGAGGUUUUGGAAGCAGUUAGAAAAAGAAGCAGGAAAGCCUGAGGCAAGAAAAUGUGCCUUUAUUCUGAAGACCCUCAAAAUGCCUUCAGAGUACUACUUGUUUGUGGAAGCAUUUUGCAAGAACCCUGGCAUCACUUGGGUUAUGAAGCUGGUUGGCAAGUCACAAGGUGAGGAAAUGUUCCUGAAAGCUGAAGGAUGUA